rnacentral:lncRNA from 1 species
AUGUGCGUGGACGUGGUGAUUUUAUUUUUUUUUCCUUUUUGUUUCUUUUACCUCAGCAGAGGAGCAGUCCUUCCCCUGCUGAGCGUCUUCUGGGCUCCAGGCGGGCUUCCUGCCUCGGUGCCGCAGCCGGUGCCUCCCUCCUUCCUCCUUUCUCCUCCUCCUUUCUCCUUCUUUUCUCCUUCUCCUUCUUCUUCUUCUCCUCCUGCUGCCGCCGCCGCUCCCCGCCCGGCCGCCGCCGAGCCCGGUCUCCUCAGGAGCGAGCCGCCGCACGAAAUGACAACCAGCUGGAGGAGGCACCGCGCCACUUCCGCUCCGCCGCCGGGCGCUGCCCCCGCCCCGCCCCAACCCCGCCUCCCCGCCCCG